AUCUUGUCACGAAAUUAAAUUUAAGAUGCAUAUUAAAUAUUUUUUUCAUGAAUAAAAUUUGACGAUGUAUAGAAAAUAACUAAAAUUUAAAAAAAAUAAAGAAGAAGAAGAAGAAGAAGAAAAAUAGUGGAAAAUUGAUGGAAGAAGAAAGAGAAAAAAAUGAAGAAAAAAAACUCUCUUUUUGUAUACUCCCUCCGUCCCACUUACGAUGGCACAAUAAAAAUGGG
rnacentral:lncRNA from 1 species